UUAGGUAUUUACAGCAGAGAUCUCCUGUCUGGAGUGGCUUUCACUGCAAGAUCUAAAUGGCUUCUCCUUUCUUUGCUGCUGUUUUGUUUCUAGGGCUUUUGGAGAGGUUUCUAGAGCACUUGACAUUGCCACAGGAGGAGAGGUGGCCAUAAAGAAAAUCAAUCUUCAAGAACUGGUCGGGAAGGAAGCAACUGCUUAUGAACUCAUGGUCAUGAAAAUGAAGAGGAACCCCAGCAUGGUGACCUAUUUAGAGAGGUGAGGGGUUCUUGUUUUAUCCCACCAAUAUUUAUUUACAUACUUCAUGCCUGCAAUGUUAAAAACCCACUUUGGAUACUGGCAGAAAAAAG
rnacentral:lncRNA from 1 species